UGAUCUGAGUAGGCAGGUGUCUCCUUCCUUCCUCACCACUCCCCGUGUCCCUCGUAGCGAGUGCGCUUGCAGAAGAGGAAGACCUGACCCAAAUAAAGUAGAGUCUGUCUUCAGUCAAAAAGUAUAGUAAAAGCUGCACUCCCCUCUCAGAACUUCCAAACAAUCUCUCAAAGGAUUUAUCUGACCAAAUAAAGCACAGAAACCCUCUGCAAAACUAAGAGUAUGAGAUUCU
rnacentral:snRNA from 1 species